GCAGGUGUAGUUUAAUGGUAGAACUUCAGCCUUCCAAGCUGAUUGUGAGGGUUCGAUUCCCUUCACCUGCU
rnacentral:tRNA from 2 species